UUAAUUUCUAAGGUCCCUCUAAUUCUAAAGCUAAGGUCUUUUGAUUUGAGAUGCCUAUUAAGGAAACAGGAAUUCAGCUUGUUUAGAGAGAGAGAGAGCACUAAUUUGCUUUCUGGGCUUUUUGUUCCAACGAUUGUCAAAAGCACUGGAAAUGAGCAAAUCCUGAGAAAAAAAUUCUAUUCAUUUAUUGGAAAAGGAAGAAGUGAAGAUGAUGGAUCCAGAAUGUCUGUUCCAGUAAACACAGAAAAACAACUUUCCAAGCCAAAGAAGAAUCGGAGAGAGGCUAUGCCCCUGACCAUGGUCUCUUGAGAAAAGACAAAAACAAACAGUUCUUUGAUGGAAUUCUCUGUGAGAAAAGGAAGGGGAAAUGCAUAUGAGAAACCUUUUUUAAAAAGCCUUGGGGAAAACAGAUAAAGCCCUGUUGGAGCUAGAAUCUGGAGAUUAAAACCAAGAAAGCCGGAUGGAAGAGAGACAGGAUUAAAGGGAGGCUCAAAGCCAUGAGAAUGUCUGAAGCAGGAUUAUGCCUUGUCAAGGAACGUCUCUGCUGCCUGCCAGGACUCCUGCCCUCUAUGAAGACAUUUUCUUCUCAGCGAUAACCCCUUUUUAUUUCUCUGCCAGGAUUUCUUUGCUAGGACCUCUAUUUCCCUACCAGGACUUUGCCACUGAGGAAGUCAGUCUUCCUAGCAAAACUGGCUUCUCAGUGCCAACAAUAAAACUUCCUUUUGAAUUCUUUCACGUUGAACCUGCGCUGAUCAGAAGGGAAUUCUCAUACUUCAACUCUCAGCUCUGCCACUAACCACAUCAGUAGUACUAGAGCUAGCUCUACUAAGCCUGCAAAAGCUUAUUGUUAAAUUUCCAGUGUGAGCAUUUAUUCUUCAGAAGUCUGUCCUUGAUUUAUUGUUUUGUUGAUUUAAAGAUGUGUAAAUAAUACAUAUUAAAAUUUAAAAGUCUACACCCCAA